rnacentral:lncRNA from 10 species
ACAGGGCUGCUGAGAAGAAAGGAGACAGGCGCAUCCGCACACAGAAAGCACUCAGUAAAUGCUGUUUCCCCCCUUCCCCCUAUACAAAGGUCAUCAAAGCCGAAUCCGAAUUUGAAUUCUGUGCGGCUGAUUGCAGAGCUGUCUUGAGGCCCUGAGGACUGGGAUCUGCGACCCCCAGUGGACAAAAGUCGACUCUACCCCAGAGGCUAAUUUUCUCAAGGCAGGCACCUGUUGAGAGGCUGCAAGUAAAAUACAGGGGAACGCUAGUUUCCGAGCUCAUGUAAGAAUCUGAGAAAUAACGGGGGUAAACUUUGACAAAGGGGUGUGUGAUUGAGACCUGAGGUCAUGAGAUUAAUGGGUUCUUAUUACCUCUUGCGGGGGGAGGUAGUAAAGGGGAGGGGCAGGUGGCCUGUGGCGUCCUGAAGAUUUUUCAUGCAUUCUUUUUCCGAGAACUAAACAUUGUCAACUCUAAUAUAUCUAUAGCGCAACUUGCUUCAAGGACAGUAAUAAUUUUCAUUUAAUAAUUUUCCAUUUAAUCCCUUUACUACAUGGUCAUUUCUGUCUCUUAUAUUCCUAGGUUUCCCUUUAUAAGGAUUAGUCAGAUCAACAUUAUAUCUCUAACAAUGUUCC